GGCUGGGUGGCUCAGUUGGUUAGAGCAUGGUGCUGAUGAUACUAAGGCCGCGGGUUCGAUCCCCGUAUGGGACA